CUGUAGAUCUGGACUGGUGGAGACUUCUCUAUUGUGACACGUUCAUUCUAGAGCAUGAAGGAUCAGGAGAAAUCUGUGGGAAGAGAUGGCCCUGGCCUGGUGAGAGCAAAGCAAGCUUGAGUAGAGAAGCGACCUAAGCCGUAUGAACUUUAUGAGGUAACUGAGCAGCCUCAGAGGUUGCUCCAGGAGAAGGAAUGCAGUCACCUUUACAAGGAGGAGUGUUCUCUUAUCGGAAGUUGGACUCUUUUACAGUUGCAACUGCCCUGGAGCCAAAUGCAUCCUGCAAACAGCCAAGUGGAAGAUCUCACACAGAA
rnacentral:lncRNA from 1 species